GUGGGGAAUCUUCCGCAAUGGACGAAAGUCUGACGGAGCAACGCCGCGUGAGUGAUGAAGGUCUUCGGAUUGUAAAGCUCUGUUAAUCGGGACGAAAGAGCCUAGUGUGAAUAAUGCUAGGAAGUGACGGUACCGGAAUAGAAAGCCACGGCUAACUACGUGCCAGCAGCCGCGGUAAUCCGUAGCUGGCAAGCGUUGUCCGGAAUUAUUGGGCGUAAAGCGCGCGCAGGCGGAUCUGCCAGUCUGUCUUAAAAGUUCGGGGCUUAACCCAGUGAUGGGAUAGAAACUACAGAUCUAGAGUAUCGGAGAGGAAAGUGGAAUUCCUAUUGUAGCGGUGAAAUGCGUAGAUAUUAGGAAGAACACCAGUGGCGAAGGCGACUUUCUGGACGAAAACUAACGCUGAAGCGCGAAAGCCAGGGGAGCGAACGGGAUUAGAAACCCUAGUAGUCC
rnacentral:rRNA from 1 species